GAUGAACGCUGGCGGCGUGCCUAAUACAUGCAAGUCGAGCGAACGGACGAGAAGCUUGCUUUUCUGAUGUUAGCGGCGGACGGGUGAGUAACACGUGGAUAACCUACCUAGAAGACUGUGAUAACUUCGGGAAACCGGAGCUAAUACCUGAUAAUAUUUUGAACCGCAUGGUUCAAAAGUGAAAGACGGUCUUGCUGUCACUUAUAGAUGGAUCCGCGCUGCAUUAGCUAGUUGGUAAGGUAACGGCUUACCAAGGCAACGAUGCAUAGCCGACCUGAGAGGGUGAUCGGCCACACUGGAACUGAGACACGGUCCAGACUCCUACGGGAGGCAGCAGUAGGGAAUUUUCCGCAAUGGGCGAAAGCCUGACGGAGCAACGCCGCGUGAGUGAUGAAGGUCUUCGGAUCGUAAAACUCUGUUAUUAGGGAAGAACAUAUGUGUAAGUAACUGUGCACAUCUUGACGGUACCUAAUCAGAAAGCCACGGCUAACUACGUG
rnacentral:rRNA from 1 species